GAUCAUGGCUCAGGACGAACGCUGGCGGCGUGCCUAACACAUGCAAGUUGAACGGAACUUUUUUUAAAGAUUUCUUCGGAAUGAAUUUGAUUAAGUUUAGUGGCGGACGGGUGAGUAACGCGUGAGUAACCUGCCUCUAAGAGGGGAAUAACAUUCUGAAAAGAAUGCUAAUACCGCAUAAUAUAUAUUUAUCGCAUGGUAGAUAUAUCAAAGAUUUAUCGCUUAGAGAUGGACUCGCGUCCGA
rnacentral:rRNA from 1 species